rnacentral:lncRNA from 1 species
UCCUUUGUGCUACUUUGGGUUAUGAACUGUUUAUGUGUACUUAUGAAGUGAAACUGUUAUGUUCUAUAUGAUUAUGUGUUUAAUGAUUUGAUUAAAUAUUUGAAGUAUAGUUGGUAUGGUACUUGUUACUUUGGUGUUGUUUAUUUAAAAGUAAAGAUAGAUAAAUCAUAUGAUUCAUUAGUAAGUCUAAGAUGCAUAAAUCAUGAUUUUUCAAAGUUAAAAAUGUUUGGAAAUUGGUUGUGGAUCUAGGUGAAUAAGUAUGGGAUACGGGGGGCUGGUAUUCCGUUAGUGGUUGAUAGUUG